GACGAACGCUGGCGGCGUGCCUAAUACAUGCAAGUCGAACGAACCGCGACUAAGUGCUUGCACUAAGUCAAGGUGAGUGGCGAACGGGUGAGUAACACGUGGGUAACCUACCUCAUAGUGGGGGAUAACAGUCGGAAACGACUGCUAAUACCGCAUAGGACAUAGGAUCACAUGAUCCAGUGAGGAAAGGUGGCGCAAGCUAUCGCUAAGAGAUGGACCCGCGGUGCAUUAGCUAGUUGGUAGGGUAAAGGCCUACCAAGGCGAUGAUGCAUAGCCGACCUGAGAGGGUGAUCGGCCACAUUGGGACUGAGACACGGCCCAGACUCCUACGGGAGGCAGCAGUGGGGAAUCUUCCACAAUGGACGCAAGUCUGACGGAGCAACGCCGCGUGAGUGAAGAAGGUCUUCGGAUCGUAAAGCUCUGUUGUUAGAGAAGAACAGCGCAUAGAGUAACUGCUAUGCGUGUGACGGUAUCUAACCAGAAAGCCACGGCUAACUACGUG
rnacentral:rRNA from 1 species